GAUGAACGCUAGCGGUGCGCCUAACACAUGCAAGUCGAGCGCGUCUUCGGACGAGCGGCGAACGGGUGAGUAACACGUUGGAACCUGCCCCGGACUCAGGGAUAACAUCGAGAAAUCGGUGCUAAUACCGGAUGGUCUCGUAAGAGUAAAGCUUUUGCGGUCCGGGAGGGGCCUGCGUAGUAUCAGCUUGUUGGUAGUGUAAAAGACUACCAAGGCUACGACGCUUAACUGGUCUGAGAGGAUGAUCAGUCACAAUGGAACUGAGACACGGUCCAU
rnacentral:rRNA from 1 species